GCUGGGUGUGGUGGCUCACACCUGUAAUCUCAGCACUUUGGGAGGCUGAGGUGGGAGGAUCACUUGAGGUCAGGAGUUUGAGACCAGCCUGGCCAACAUGGUGAAACCCCAUCUCUA
ensembl:misc_RNA Metazoa_SRP Metazoan signal recognition particle RNA